UCUUAUCUACUUAUUUUUCCAGAUGCUACCGUAGAUCCUUUUAACUUUUUUUUUAACGUUUAUUUAUUUUUCAGAGUCAGAGACAGAGGAUAAGCAGGGGAGGGGCAGAGAGAGCGAAACACAGAAUCUGAAACAGGCUCCAGGCUCUGAGCUGUUAGCACAGAGCCUGACGCAGGGCUGGAACCCACGAACUGCGAGAUCAUGACUUGAGCCGAAGUCAGUUGCUUAACCGAACCCGAUCCUUUUAACUUUUUAAAAACAAAACAGAUCACCUGGACAUAAUGCAAAAGAAAAGAAUUGCUGUGCAUGGGAAUUGCUGUGGUUUAAGUAGCAGGUAUUGGCAUUUCUCAGGUCACAAAUAUACUAGUGCAAAUAUCUUCUGCAUGACCAGCCUGAUUGUAUACCAUCUUCCAAGGCCACUUCUUGACCCAGAACCAAACACCUACCUCCUGACAUUUGGUGGGGAAAGGAGUUAGGUAUUGUCUCUUUUCUUCUUCCUUAUUUUAUUUCUUGUAUUCUUUUUUUAGCAAUGCUUUAACAAUGAUUUUUUCUCAGGCAUGAUGCCACUUUGUACUUUAACUAUUAACCCUUGCUUUAAGAAAUGUCCCUAGAUGUCUGACAGAUUGAGGUGCAGGCCCAGACAGCAGUCACAUUAUAAAAGUAACCAGGGAACGUUUAAAAAAAGAAAUUAUCCUAGGGGCGCCUGGGUGGCUCAGUCACAUCCUACUCUUGAUUUCGGCUUGGGUCAUUAUCUCACAGUUUGUG
rnacentral:lncRNA from 1 species